rnacentral:sRNA from 1 species
CAGGGACAGAAGUCCAGAAUAUUCAGCCCAGGCCUGUGAGUCUGACAUCCAGGUGAGCUGCUAAGGAGUAGCCCUGCUGGCAGAGCCCCGGCCGCGCUGGGCCUGAGAGCCAGGCUGGCGCUGUGGAUGUGGCGUUGCUCGUGAAGCCGCAGAUUACCCAGAGCACUCUGGAUUGGAGGCCCGUGCUCCAUGGUCCAAGAUAGCCACUCUACCAGCUACCCAUCCCUCCUCAGCCACCUGACCUCCAUGUACCUGAACGCCCCGGCGCUCGCUCUGCCUGUAGCCAGGACGCAGCUCCCAGGCCCUGGUCUGCGCUCAUUUCAUCCUCUGGCUUCCUCACUGCCCUGUGACUUCCACCUGCUCAACCUACGUACCCUCCAGGCUGAGGAGGACACCCUGCCCUCGGCGGAGACCGCACUCAUCUUACACCGCAAGGGUUUUGACUGCGGCCUGGAGGCCAAGAACUUGGGCUUCAACUGCACCACAAGCCAAGGCAAGGUAGCCCUGGGCAGCCUUUUCCAUGGCCUGGAUGUGGUAUUCCUUCAGCCAACCUCCUUGACGU